rnacentral:rRNA from 1 species
UACGUAGGCAGCGAGCGUUUGUUCGGAAUUACUGGGCGUAAAGAGUGUGUAGGCGGUGUUCUAAGUCUGGUGUGAAAUCUCCCGGCUCAACUGGGAGGGUGCGCCGGAAACUGGAAUGCUAGAGUGUGGGAGAGGUAAGCGGAAUUCCUGGUGUAGCGGUGAAAUGCGUAGAUAUCAGGAGGAACACCUGUGGUGUAGACAGCUUACUGGACCACGACUGACGCUGAGACACGAAAGCGUGGGUAGCAAACAGG